AGGCAGAGUUCCUCCACCGUCUCUGCUUCAGUUCCUGCCUCCAGGUUCCUGCACUGGCCUCCCCUGGAGCCUGAAUUGUAAGACUUAGGCUGAAACAGGCCUUUUCCUCCCCAAGCUGCUUCUGGUCACAGUGUUCUAUCACAGCAGGAGAAAACAAACUAAGACACAAACCAAACUUGGAAGUGCCACACCCUCAUUUCUUAACAGUGUUGAGACCUUAUGCAUCCCCUGAAGAUCUAGAAGCCUGCCAGCUCCCCAUAGCCCUGGAAGCCCAGGGAGGGCAAGAAGGCCAGCUGGCAGCCGCCAUGUCCUUUCCGGGCCUGGUUUUCAUCCUGGGUGUCGUCACUGGACAGCAGAGGACAGAGCAGAGGGAAGUUAGGACUGGAUCCCAGCCUGCCACAGAACUCCAGGCAGAUGUCCACUGGUUCUAGGGACUGGAAAUCUGAGACUGCGUCGGUGACAAGUUUGGCUCCUGGGAGGCCACUCUCCUUGGCUUGCAGACAGCUGCCCUCCUGUUACCUGGUCACAUGAUCUGUCCUCCGUGCAUGUGCUCCACGGUGUUUCCCAUGUGUCUAACCUUCCUUUGUCAGCCAGAUUUCUAUUCCUGUGACAAAUCUCUGUGAUAAAUCGAUGUAUACAGGGGAAAAUAUGUCAUUCUGGCAAAUUUGGGGCGGUCGGCCAGCCCUUCUCUCUGGCCUCUAUCAGGAUAUCAAGGUGGAAGGGUGGGGCAAGUAUCCCUUUUACCUCAGGGCCCAGAGGAAGGAAGAAAAAGGGGCGUGUCCCACUUCCUUUCAGCACCCUCAGAGGGUUAACAGUAAGAGGACCCACCUCUUAAAGUUCCACCAACUCUCAAAGGUGCCCUCGUGGGCAGGGCACCUUCCAUACCAGGCCCCUGGGGGAAAUCCAGGUUCAGAUUCACACUCAAGCAUCCUCCCUUGUGACACCUCUGGCCAGCCUGAAUUAGGAUCUACCCACAACCUUAUACAGACCCCGUCUCUGAACAAGUCACUGUUGGGAGUGUUGAAACCAGAAAGUUGGAACAGGAAAUGUGAAAUGACAUGUUUUGGGCUCUCGCUGUGUGGAUCUUGGUUAUCUAGAGUCAACUAAGAGACAAACCUCUGAGCAGGUCUGUAAGAGUUACCAGAAAGAGUUAAUUAAGAGUAGGCUCUCCCAUGGAGUGGAGAGUUCCUGUCAGCAGCAGUAAGCCAGACAGAAAGGGGUCAGAGGAAAUCACCUGCC